GAAGAAUUUGGACGCUGUUUCUUUCCAGCACUGGCUUGAGAGUUUUCACAAAAAUUACAUACAGCGGAUUCUUUUUAUUAAGCUACAGAUUCUACGAUGGAUUUAGAAUGGAAUAUGCAGAAGACUGAUAAGAAUGUUCAUGAGCUAGUCCUCUGCCAGAUUCUGCAAGAAGGAACGAAGAAACCAUCAAAGUGCCUGUCUCAUUGUAGCAAUCUUAUGGACCACAUGGAUGGAAAUAAAUAUAUACAAGAUUUGCUGCAACAGUUGGAAGA